UACGGAGGGUGCAAGCGUUGUCCGGAUUUAUUGGGUUUAAAGGGUGCGUAGGCGGUCUGGUAAGUCGGAUGUGAAAUCCCUGGGCUCAACCUGGGAAUGGCACCCGAAACUAUAAAUCUUGAAUACCUAAGAGGUUGGCGGAAUUCCUGGUGUAGGAGUGAAAUCCGUAGAUAUCAGGAGGAAUAUCGGAGGCGAAGGCGGUUCUCUGGGCAUGUCCUGACGCUGAGGAGCGAAAGUGUGGGGAGCGAACAGG
rnacentral:rRNA from 1 species